CAGUCGCCGCGGUAAUACGGAGGGGGCUAGCGUUGUUCGGAUUUACUGGGCGUAAAGCGCACGUAGGCGGAUCGAUCAGUCAGGGGUGAAAUCCCAGAGCUCAACUCUGGAACUGCCUUUGAUACUGUCGAUCUGGAGUAUGGAAGAGGUGAGUGGAAUUCCGAGUGUAGAGGUGAAAUUCGUAGAUAUUCGGAGGAACACCAGUGGCGAAGGCGGCUCACUGGUCCAAUACUGACGCUCAUGCACGAAAGCGUGGGGAGCAAACAGGAUUAGAUACCCCAGUAGUCCCUGUCUCUUAUAC
rnacentral:rRNA from 1 species